CCCACAGCCAUCGGACAUUGGCUUUUGCUGCCCCACAUCCAUCAGAGGUUGACUUUGGCCGCCCCACAUCCAUCGGACGUUGGUUUGGCUGCCCCACAUCUACCGGACGUUGGCUUUGGCUGCCCCACAUCUACCGGAUGUUGGCUUUGGCCGCCCCACAUCCAUCAGACGUUGGCUUUGGCUGCCCCACAUCCGUUGGGAUAUUGGCUUUGGCCGCCCCACAUCUAUCAGACGUUGGUUUGGCUGCCCCACAUCUACCGGACGUUGGCUUUGGCCGCCCCAUAUCUAUCAGAGGUUGGCUUUGGCCGCCCCACAUCCAUCGGACGUUGGUUUGGCUGCCCCACAUCCAUUAGGAUAUUGGCUUUGGCUGCCCCACAUCUAUCAGACGUUGGUUUGGCCGCCCCACAUCUAUCAGACGUUGGCUUUGGCCGCCCCACAUCCAUCAGACGUUGGUUUGGCUGCCCCACAUCUACCGGACGUUGGCUUUGGCCGCCCCACAUCUAUCAGAGGUUGGCUUUGGCCGCCCCACAUCCAUCGGACGUUGACUUUGGCCGCCCCACAUCCAUCAGACAUUGGUUUGGCCGCCCCACAUCUAUCAGAGGUUGACUUUGGCUGCCCCACAUCCAUCGGACGUUGGUUUGGCUGCCCCACAUCCAUUGGGAUAUUGGCUUUGGCCACCCCACAUCCCAUCGGACGACGGUUUGGCUGCCCCACAUCCCAUAGGAUGCUGAAUAUGGCCACCCCACAACCCCAAUAUGGCCACCCCAUAUCCCUAAUUAAUUUACCCACCCCAUAUCCUUAAUUUGGCCACCCCACAUCCCAUAGGACGACGGUUUGGCUGCCCCACAUCCCAUAGGAUGCUGAAUAUGGCCACCCCACAUCCCAUAGGAUGACAGUUUGGCUGCCCCACAUCCCAUAGGAUGCUGAAUAUGGCCACCCCACAACCCUAAUAUGGCCACCCCACAUCCCAUAGGAUGACGGUUUGGCUGCCCCACAUCCCAUAGGGUGCUGAAUUUCCCCCCCCCAACCCUAAUAUGGCCACCCCACAACCUUAAUAUGGCCACCCCAUAUCCCUAAUUAAUUUGGCCACCCCAUAUCCUUAAUUUGGCCACCCCACAACCCUAAUAUGGCCACCCCACAUCCCAUAGGAUGACGGUUUGGCUGCCCCACAUCCCAUAGGGUGCUGAAUUUCCCCCCCCAACCCUAAUAUGGCCGCCC
ensembl:lncRNA